rnacentral:lncRNA from 1 species
CUCCUGUUUUUUUUUUUUUUUCUUUUAGAGAAAAAGAGAAGAAUAUUCUACAUUUUCCGGAAUAUUUUUUUCCAUUCUAGCAUUAACCGAGACCAGACGGCACGAAAGUUUCGGUGUAGUAAACAUCGCACUUCCAGCAUUCCAAUUAUGACGGUUUUAAUGGAUAUUACCUGACACUGUCGAAGUCUGCGUGGCCCUCUUGAAUUUCGCAUUAAAAUUUCAUAAUUACGUUUUCAUUAGUUUCCUUAAUUCGCGUAUAAGUUAAAAGAGAAGCGCGGUUACAGAUAAUAUAAGUAAUUGAGUCUUAACUUAAGUAAAAGCCGGCUCGAUUUUUUCUUUUUCUCCCAUGAAUAUUUGAAGCGGUUAUUAUAUUAUUAAGAAGUUUCCAUCGGGGGAAAAUAUUCCUAUAACUCUAGAUGGCGGAGGUGUGUUCGGACGGAUGAAGCGAAUAGCUAUUGAUUGACCUUCUAUCAAAAGAUGACCUUUGCAACCAAGGUUAUUCCGGUAUGAAGAUAAGCUUUGAUGUACGUUACAGUCGCAUUCACAACUUCAUAGAUAUCGGACCGAAAGCGAAACGCAAUAGCGCAUCCGAAGUCAUUUUGUAUCAAUCCGUUUCUAAACGAUUUAAAUUUUUCUUUUUUAUUAUUUCUUCUGAAACUUCAGCCGCGGCCAUAAAAAGAAUUUUUUUAAUUCGAGAAAGAUUUUUUCAUCCGAUAAGGAAAUACCGGCGGACGAGAUCAAAAGAAUCGAUUUCGUAUCCGUCCAUAAUUAAUUAUUUUUUCAUCAUUAAGUAAAUACCGCGCAAACAAUGCGGUCUUUAAUCCGACGACCCAAUUUUCGUAAUUUAUCGUAAAAUUUUAAACGGAAGGCGUAAUUUUGGCGAACACACCAUUCUUCAUUACCUGGAAAGAAUUACGUCAUCUCAUAAAUAUUUUUGCCUCAUCGUUCGGAAGGUUUUGUGGAUCGUUAAGUGUUGCCAGAACUUAUCGUAAUGCCAGUGAUUUAUUUGGCAGAGAACAUGAGCGGCUCGUGAUUUGGACCCGACCGAUAGUGGGAAUUUAAUAGGGCGCAUCCAUUAUGUAUCGAAAAGUGUCUGUAUAUAUCCAUUUAUGUAUGAGAAGCGAAGAAUACGCUCUUUGGAUGUUUUCCAAUCGUAAUAAAGAGUAGCGUUGUGGAAAAUGUUUCGUAUUUUUUUUUUUUUUUUUUUUUUAAGAAAUUGCCACUCCCGUACAGAAAUGGUCUGAAGUAUGUUCGCGUAUUCCGACAUAAAUGUCGUGUUUGCGUCCUACAGGUGCAGGACAGCCUAUAUUUCCGG